UACGUAGGGUGCGAGCGUUGUCCGGAUUUAUUGGGCGUAAAGGGCUCGUAGGCGGCGUGUCGCGUCGGGAGUGAAAGCCCGUUGCUUAACGGCGGAUUGGCUUUCGGUACGGGCAUGCUGGAGUGCGGCAGGGGAGACUGGAAUUCCUGGUGUAGCGGUGAAAUGCGCAGAUAUCAGGAGGAACACCGGUGGCGAAGGCGGUUCUCUGGGCCUUACCUGACACUGAGGAGCGAAAGCGUGGGGAGCGAACAGG
rnacentral:rRNA from 1 species